UACGUAGGGUGCAAGCGUUAAUCGGAAUUACUUGGCGUAAAGCGUGCGCAGGCGGUCUUGCAAGACAGAUGUGAAAUCCCCGGGCUUAACCUGGGAACUGCAUUUGUGACUGCAAGGCUGGAGUGCGGCAGAGGGGGAUGGAAUUCCGCGUGUAGCAGUGAAAUGCGUAGAUAUGCGGAGGAACACCGAUGGCGAAGGCAAUCCCCUGGGCCUGCACUGACGCUCAUGCACGAAAGCGUGGGGAGCAAACAGG
rnacentral:rRNA from 1 species